CGCUACCGGUACCAGCGAUGCACUUGUAGGCUAUUAUCUGUUGACGUCUAAAAAAAAAACCCUAGUUCUUACUGUCUUUGUCGUUUGUUGCUGCCAAAGCUUGUACCGGCUGGUUGGUCCUGUUGAAAAUGGCACUUUCGAGGGUUUCUUGGCAUAGGAUUUCCUUGUGUGGCCACAAGUAUCUGUCUUCUCUGUUUCCUUUCUCGUUGUCUGGUCAUCUGGCAUCGUCUCUUCAGCAAACGUACCCCAGCAGAUUUAAUCUCUCUGCUUCUCUCUCUAGUUCCACCCAGGAAUCAACUCCCAAGCAGAGCAGUCGAUGGAGGCCUAUGUGUUUGUACCAUGCCCAGGGUAAGUGCACGAAGAUGGAUGAUCCUAUCCACCUAGAGAAAUUCAAUCAUAAUUGCUCUGUGGAGCUUAAAGUAAGCUCUGACAAGUUCAAACACACACGCUCUCAGCAAUUAGACUUUUUCCUUGUGCUUGAUUUGGAGGGAAAAGUAGAGAUUCUGGAGUUUCCUGUUCUAAUGCUGGAUGCCAAUACACUGGAUGUGGUGGAUGUGUUCCACAGAUUUGUGAGGCCCUCUGCUAUGAGUGAGGAAAGGACAAUGCAGUAUAUAGAAGGAAAAUAUGGAAAACUAGGAGUUGAUCGUGUUUGGCAUGAUACAGCUAUUCCAUUUGAGGAAGUUAUUCAACAGUUUGAAGCAUGGAUUGGUCUUCAUCACUUAUGGGAAAAAGAGCUCCCUGGGGAUCUUAGAAAAGCUGCAUUUGUGACUUGUGGGAAUUGGGAUCUGAAGACAAAAAUCCCUCAACAAUGCAGAGUAUCAAGGAUGACACUUCCCCCAUAUUUUAUGGAAUGGAUCAAUCUGAAGGACAUCUAUCUAAACUUCUACAAGAGGAGGGCCACAGGAAUGAUGACAAUGAUGAGGGAACUUCAGAUGCCACUGGUAGGAAGUCACCAUCUAGGCAUUGAUGAUACGAAAAACAUAACGAGAGUGCUACAGCGCAUGCUUACUGAUGGUGCGCUUAUGCAGAUCACUGCGAGGAGAAAUGCUGAACAUCCUGAGAAUGUUGAAUUUCUUUUCGAGAACCGUAUCAGGUAGAAAUUCACUCGUGGAGAAACCAGUUAUUGGCAGUGGUGACCGGAAAAUGAGAAUCUUCCUUUGUACAUUUAUGGAAAAGGGUUACAUGAAAGUGAGAGUUGCAGCAUCUGAUCAUCAAAAUGGAGGGGUGGGUGGGGGAUUCAAAACAUGCGUUGUAGAGUUUGAUUAUCAUCAUAUUGAUUUGGAAUUCAAAUCCGACGAAGCCAGUAUCUGCUCCGCCAUCUGCAUCUGAAGCUGAUACCUAAGCAACUGGGCAACUGCAUCUUCCGAUGGUUCAAGCUGCUGCUGCUCCUCCUUCUGAGGCCGCCCCUGCGAAGC